rnacentral:misc_RNA from 1 species
GUGCACUUGCCCCAUCUAUGAAAGCAUUGGUUGCACAAGUACUUUCUAGGCAUUCGAAUGUUGAUGUUAAAAUAGCAGUUACCUCUUGCAUUAUUGAGAUGAUCAGAAUAACUGCUCUAAAUGCUCCUUAUGAUGAUGAUCAUAUGAAGGAUUUUUUUCAACUAAUUGUGUCACCAUUCAAAAACUUGGCAAACAAGUCUAGUCAAUCAUAUGGCAAGAGAACUUUGAUUCUUGAAACAGUUGAGAGUUCAAUCAUGUGUGGUGAUGUUGGAUUUUGAAUGUGAUAUCUGAUAAUUGAGAUGUUCCAACAUUUCUUUAAUGAUAUAAGGGAUUAUCACCCGGAGAAUAUCUUGUCAUUCAAGAAGACCAUUAUGACCCUUGUAUUAGAAGAAAGUGAAGAUAUCCCUCUAGAAUUGCUUUCCCCUCUUUUAGAUAGUGUGAAAAAGAGCAUCACGGAAGUUCUACUUGUUGCUCGUAUGUUGGGAGAAAGAGUAAUUGAAAGUUGUGCUGAAAAGGUUAGACCUUACAUCUUGCUAUCUUUGGGUAUUUCUUUGGUGAUUAGAGAGAAAUAAUUGCUAUAUGCCAAUGUGACACUAUAUAAGAACAAAAAGUGCAUCUUAAAGAAUCCAAAAAUUUGGUUUUUGAGUCUUCAUACAUUGAGGAACUAGUUCUAGAAACACAUGUUUGAGAAUUAUCUUCUAGUGAAAGAAGCUGAAUUUGAUGAGAAUGAGAACGAGUAGCUUGAAGAAUCUAUCCUAGUAAACAAUGAAAAUCAAGCCAUAAAAACUUCAAUGGGUAUUGAAGAAAGUCAAGUCAUGGAGACCAAGGAAAUAAAAAAAAUUCCAAAUUCCCUUGUUCCCAAUGAUUUGAAGAGUCAUUCAACUUUUACUUGCGAUUAAUUUUCAGAUGUUUCUAAGGAUGCAAGAAAUGUGUGACGUUCUUCAUUUCGAUCUUAUUACCACCAUUCAAGAAGAUAAAGUUGCUUGUUUUUCGAAGAAGAUUCUUUAUUCUUCUGCAUUACAAGGCUCGAAGUCGGAUUUUCUCCAACUAGGGGAGAAUGA